rnacentral:lncRNA from 1 species
GAAGACUCCAAAUGUUGCUGAUAACCCUGAAAAUUGACCAAAACAAGGCUUCGUGGCUGAGCAGGUAACCACGGCCUGACGCUUAACUUCUAGCCUCUGAAGAUGAACUCACAAUGGGCUUUUAUUCCUCUCUGAAUCACAAUGAGCAGAGUCUCACCAACCCAGGAGAACUCACAUAAUAUACGCAAGGUUUCUGCCCCGUGUUUAGUUUCUGAUCCAGAGCCUUCUCUACCAUAAAUGGAACUGCGUAGCACUGGGUGGAAUCCCUCAGGGGCAGGUGAUGUCCAACAGGCAGCCAAGGCCAUUCAAGGUUCCUGGUAGUUCAUGGUUCCUGGCUCCUGCCUGCACUGGAGCUGAGACCCGGAAGCCUCUGGUUCCACUUUUAUAUUAAAGGUUUAAUCAUGAGGAACUUUUAGUAUGAAUUCUUUUUCGCUCCUCUACAAGAAUGUGUUAUUUAAGGUCAUAGAAUGUUCGGGAAAUCCUCCCAACGCAAUGCUCUUCAAUGCAAGCCAGCCCCAUGGUACCCAUACAAUUUGCUCCUCAGCCACGUGUGUCUUCAGGCAUCCAGGAAGACCCCAUGACAUCUUUGCUCUGUAAUAGGGAGCGAGAUCCAUGGUAAAUCAUUGCUGGGAUAUGUUUUUAAUUUAAGGUUCAAUGAGCUGCAAUCUAAAUAAACACUUUGGUGGGCCACUAGAAGCUAUUUAGAGGAAACAGCAAGAACAAUAUUCUUAACUUCUCCCAUAAUUUUGUUUGUAGCAUUUAAUUAUUAUGAAGCAGAAUUGUACGACAGACCAUGGGCUGCUGGCAUGUGCAGGAAGGUAGUAUUUAUUAAAAAGUCAACUGCUGACCUCUAAGCCCUAGUGCUAGUUGUCAUAGAGUCAUAUAUUUUUAUUGGACAAAAUCUUUGGUUUUAAAUUUACUGCAUUUAUCAUUGGGUAGUAAAACAGGUGCACAGAGAUGGAAAAUGCAAGGUCAAAAGUCAGAAGGGCUGAGACUGCUACAGCGUUCAGUUUUCCACCAGCGUGAGAUGUGGAGAAGACAGUUUUUGAAUGAGUUCCUGAACCAACUCAAGAAGGCACUCUGUGAAGACCUGGGCAUCCAGCCUGUAACAAGAAAGACAGAGCCACAGAACUUGGUGAAGGAGACCGGUUAUCACAAGCAAACAAAGACAAACACUGUAGUUUCAAAUUGCGGCAAGUUUCAUAAAAUAAAUCCGAUG